CACAGUUUAAAUUUUCAGUGUUAAAAAAUUCAGCAUAUAAAAAAUUCAACUUUUCAAAAUUCGAAUGCAAUAUUUUCAUUGUCCUCCAAUUCAACUUGCUCAAAUUCGCUGUCUCAAAUUCAACGUCUAAAAAUUCGCUGCAAAAAUGGCGAGGUUACUUCAGGUCACAGACAUUAGCAAUGGAUGUCAGAUUCCAGGACCCAGCUGAUCACGUGACACAACCGUCAUAUUGAAGAAAUACCAGCAUCGCCGAGGCUGGCGACCAUGGAGGCGAAUGAAAACCCAACGGUGAGUUUAAUGCUUUCAUAUUUCUGUAUUAUAUUUUAUUUUGCGCAUGAAGUUUGAUACAUUAUCUUAAAUCUUGAUUUAAAACACGGGUUGGGCCGUUGUUAAUCUUACACCAUGUAGUGCUAGCAUAUUACGUCUUGCUACCUCCUAGCCCCCCCAGCCCCUCACCCAAUUUACCCCGUUUUAUUUCAAAAAGAAAUACCACUUGCGCCAAGUCUAGAAUCUUGAAAGAGAACUGAUGGGUGGCGACUUUCUGGGUUGUUUGAUGUUGUCUUAGGUGAGACUGAGACAGGCAGUCUUAGUAAAGUGUAAUUUUUCAGGAGAUGCUACCGCUAAUGUACUAAGCUAAUAUGGCUGCCUUGUAUGCUUCAAGGAGGGGCUGUGAACACUACCGACAUUAAUUAUAACCACAACCCCAUUCUGUUCAGCUACUGUAUUGUUCAGGUGACUUCAUUUAUGAAUUAAUUAAGAAAUUUAUUGUCAUUACAACAUCAUCCAAAAUACUGCUUCUCUUAUCUGACAAGUGUUGAUAUACAAUAUUAAUUUACAUUAUUUUCUUUCUUGCUUUUUUUUCCCUCUGAGUCAUUUGUGAUGUCUUUUGCAGCUCGAAGGAGAAUCCAGGCUCUUUGAUACUCAAAUGGAAAGAGUACAGAGCUUGGCAUAUUCAUGGGACCUUCUUUGCCCCACAGAGAACAAUAGGAAGUGGCUUUUUGAGAAGCUGUUACUUCAUGCAGUUCUUGGACGUGUCGCAAGACAAAUAAAGCAGCUUAGACGAGGCUUGAAAGAAAUCCCAAUAUGGUCACUGGUAACUCGGCGGCCUGAUGCUGUACCGCUGCUUUUUCCACUGGAGGAAGCCUCCCUGUGUCCAGAGGUAUAUUUAAAUAACUGGAAUUAUGGUGCUGCAUCUGUUAUUGUUUUAAUGAAAUGCCUUUUAUAUAAAACAUUUUCUUUGCAAACUUCUGUUAAACACAACGCAAUUAGUUUUUUCUACUAAACUUAAGUGGUACUUCAGCAUAUCACUUGGCCAGAAACAGAUGACGGAAGUGAUGAAGAUGACGACUGCUCAAAGGAAACCAGAUGCCGCAUUUCAGGAUAUCUGAAACAGUUAAUUGCAAAUGCCACACCACCUGAACUGAAAGACAUGAUGAAAUUCUGGACCGGAUGGGAAAAUCUGCCAUCAAGUCUGUCUGUGGAGAUAGUUCAUGGAAACUACCCAACAGCUGCCACUUGCUACGAAACGCUAAGAAUUCCUUGUCACUACAGGAGUUACAAAUCUUUCAGUGAUGAGUUUUUAGCUUGCAUUUCCUCUACGCAAACUGGCUUUGGCUUGCUUUGAAUGAUCGACCUGUAAAAAAAAAAAAAAUCUACAUUUAAGCUGUAGCAGUUCUGUUUGU